rnacentral:rRNA from 1 species
UACGUAGGGAGCAAGCGUUGUCCGGAUUCAUUGGGCGUAAAGAGCUCGUAGGCGGCUUGGCAAGUCAGGUGUGAAAACUCCAGGCUCAACCUGGAGACGCCACUUGAUACUGCUAUGGCUAGAGUUCGGUAGGGGACCACGGAAUUCCUGGUGUAGCGGUGAAAUGCGCAGAUAUCAGGAGGAACACCGAUGGCGAAGGCAGUGGUCUGGGCCGAUACUGACGCUGAGGAGCGAAAGCCAGGGGAGCAAACGGG